rnacentral:rRNA from 1 species
GGGCCUAAACAAGUGGUGGAGCAUGUGGUUUAAUGCGAUAAUACGCGCGAAAUCUUACCAAUCCUUGAUGAUAAAAAGUAUCCUUUUUUCUUUCUUAGAAAUUUAAGUGAUCUUUUUAAACAGGUGUUGCAUGGCUGUCGUCAGCUCGUGUUGUGAAAUGUUUGGUUAAGUCCUUUAACGAGCGCAACCCCUUUCCUUUUUGCUAGCUUUUUUAAGCGUACUUUAAGGAAACUUCUUGCGAUAAGCGAUAGGAAGAGGGAUGAAGUCAAGUCCUUAUGGCCCUUAUGGAUUGGGCUACACACGUGCUACAAUGGUAAAUACAAUGAGAGGCAAAUAAGUUAAUUUGGAGCUAAUCUUUAAAUUUUAUCUUAGUUCGGAUUAGUGACUGAAAUUCGUCAUUAUGAAGUUGGAAUCACUAGUAAUCG